AAGAGUACGUAGGCGGUGAUUCAAGUCAGAGGUGAAAGCCUGGAGCUCAACUCCAGAACUGCCUUUGAAAACUAGAUCGCUAGAAUUGUGGAGAGGUUAGUGGAAUUCCGAGUGUAGAGGUGAAAUUCGUAGAUAUUCGGAAGAACACCAGUGGCGAAGGCGACUAACUGGACACAUAUUGACGCUGAGGUACGAAAGCGUGGGGAGCAAACAGGAUUAGAUACCCCGGU
rnacentral:rRNA from 1 species